rfam:Rhodococcus pyridinivorans SB3094, complete genome.
GCCCUCGUAGCUCAGGGGAUAGAGCGCUUGCCUCCGGAGCAAGAAGUCGCAGGUUCGAAUCCUGCCGAGGGCA